GGCAAGGUGGCCGAGCGGUCUAAGGCGCGCGGUUAAGGUAUCUAAUCAGAACCUCUAUCUUGAUUUAUCAAGUUUCCGCGUCAUUAAUUUGGCGUGGGUUCGAAUCCCACCCUUGUCA
rfam:TPA: Aspergillus nidulans FGSC A4 chromosome V